rnacentral:pre_miRNA from 1 species
UAAGUACUCCCUCCGUCCCAAAAUUCUUGUCUUAGAUUUGUCUAGAUACGGAUGUAUCUAACACUAAAACGUAACUAGAUACAUCCGCAUUUAGACAAAUCUAAGACAAGAAUUUUGGGACGGAGGGAGUAUUAG